GGAUAGAGGGCGUCUCGACCGUCUUAUCCCAUUCCUGUGAGAAAAUGAGAUUGGGAUCGGGUUGGGACUCCAAAACCCAUCCAUACAGGGAGAGAAAAAAGAAGAGAAAAAAAAGUAAAAGAAAAAAGAAGAAGAAAAAAAAAGAAAAGAAGGAAAAAAGAAAAGAGAAAGAAUAAGAAAAAGGAUAAAAAGAAAGGAAGGGAUGAGAAAGUGAAACAAAAAAAAAAAAUGAAAGAAA
rnacentral:lncRNA from 1 species